rnacentral:rRNA from 1 species
AACGAACGCUGGCGGCGUGGAUAAGACAUGCAAGUCGAACGGGACAGACCGAGUAGCAAUAUUUGGAAUGUUCAGUGGCGAACGGGUGCGUAACACGUGGAUAACAUUCCGGAAAGCGGGGAAUAGCCCAGGGAAACUUGGAUUAAUACCGCAUGUGGCCGCAAGGCUAAAGACGGGGACCGCAAGGCCUGUCACUUUCCGAUUGGUCCGCGGCCUAUCAGCCAGUUGGCGGGGUAAUGGCCCACCAAGGCUACGACGGGUAGCUGGUCUUAGAGGACGACCAGCCACACUGGAACUGAGACACGGUCCAGCCACCUACGGGUGGCAGCAGUCGAGAAUCUUUCACAAUGGGGGCAACCCUGACGGAGCGACGCCACGUGGAGGAUAAGGUCUUCGGAUUGUAAACUCCUGUCAUGCGAGAACAAGGUACUCAGGCUAAUAACCUGAUUGUUUGAUGGUACCGCAAGAGGAAGAGACGGCUAACUCUGUGCCAGCCGCCGCGGUAAUAC